GGAGAGGUGUCCGAGCGGUCGAAGGAGCACGCCUGGAAAGCGUGUAUGGGUUUAUAGCUCAUCGAGGGUUCGAAUCCCUCUCUCUCCGCCA
rnacentral:tRNA from 1 species